CCGGCCUGAGAGGGCGACCGGCCACACUGGGACUGAGACACGGCCCAGACUCCUACGGGAGGCAGCAGUGGGGAAUAUUGCACAAUGGGCGAAAGCCUGAUGCAGCGACGCCGCGUGAGGGAUGACGGCCUUCGGGUUGUAAACCUCUUUCAGCAGGGAAGAAGCGCAAGUGACGGUACCUGCAGAAGAAGCACCGGCUAACUACGUGCCAGCAGCCGCGGUAAUACGUAGGGUGCGAGCGUUGUCCGGAAUUAUUGGGCGUAAAGAGCUCGUAGGCGGCUUGUCACGUCGGAUGUGAAAGCCCGGGGCUUAACCCCGGGUCUGCAUUCGAUACGGGCAGGCUAGAGUGUGGUAGGGGAGAUCGGAAUUCCUGGUGUAGCGGUGAAAUGCGCAGAUAUCAGGAGGAACACCGGUGGCGAAGGCGGAUCUCUGGGCCAUUACUGACGCUGAGGAGCGAAAGCGUGGGGAGCGAACAGGAUUAGAUACCCUGGUAGUCCACGCCGUAAACGUUGGGAACUAGGUGUUGGCGACAUUCCACGUCGUCGGUGCCGCAGCUAACGCAUUAAGUUCCCCGCCUGGGGAGUACGGA
rnacentral:rRNA from 1 species